GAUAAGGGCAGAGGGAGUAACUGGUUGUCCUGGAAACAGCUGUGAAGGGCCUGGCUGGUUAAAUCUUCCCCCCAUCUUGGAGAAAGAGAAAUAUCUUGAAAGGGUAACCAUUGCACUUGAAUGGCUUAUCUCAUGUCUCUGAAGUAAUCAGGACAGCACUAUUCUUGCCCCUACUCCUGCCGCCGCUGCCCUCACUCUCUGGAGCCAGAAAAGGGGCAAUUCUGCUUCUUAGUGGUGAGAGGGGCCAGUGGCCACAAAAGCAACAGCGGAGUGAGCAGGCGGGCAAGACAAAAAGGAAGCAGCAGCUGCUGCUAAAGUGCCACUGUGGAGGGCUUUGCUACAAAAAUGAAGUGUACAACAAUUCUGUGGUGAGAAACAAUUUCAUGUUCAGAGCGACAGGCAUGAAGAUGCAGGCCAAAGUACAAGCAAGGAAAGUCAGCCAACCCUAGCUGCAAAGCUCACCUCCUCCCUGCCUCAUGUGGCAUCUCUGGACCAAUCAUCAUGUUCCACCCAGCUGUUCAGCUCUGCUCCCUUACCCAAUGACUGACAGCAGUGCACUGUUACUGCAGAAGGUGUCAUCCAUCACUACAGAAAGAGAGCUCUGCAGUGUACCAGAAACUUUAGACAUCUUAAAUCCAUCCUAACAUCUGCAUUUUCGCCCACUACACCCUCUUCUUUCUGGAGAGGAAACACACCAACAAACAUCACACCCUUUUUAACGUGUUUCAGCCUCCCUGUUAGGAGAGAUUAUUUUCAAUCCCUAAAAAAAAAAAAAAAACACAAAAAAAAACCACUGUGCAUACUGACAACUUGUUUCAGCCAGGAUCCAAGAAUAGCUGCUUGCCAUGUAUUUUUCUCUUCCAAUAUUUUACAGCAGCCAGUGGAACACAUACACCUUUAAUUUGCCUCUCGCUGUAACUCUAGAAACGUUGGUGGCAUUUCUCCCAAACGAUACACUAUUGAGCAAAAAAAAGAACCUGACAGAACAAAAUAUGCCCAGACGACAGAAGACUGGCUUGCUAACAACUCAAGAGACAUGCAAGACGCUGAGCGAGUAAGGCAGCUAAUAUUUCUGAUGUGGAGAUGCCUCUCAUUUCCCUGCACUGGAUCUAUUUUUAAUUACGAAAUACGUGUGUGUGUGUGUGCGCGCACACACACACACACACACACUUUAGAUGCUGCCUACUGAACAAGUAUACAGUUCAACAUUACAUUUACUUCUUUGAAUGCCUCUUUCCAUUUACUUCUUUUGAAUGCCUCUUAUUGACGUGUCUGACAUUUCACUUCACAACUGUUCCAUUCACAUGCAUGUUUCACACAACUGGUACCAAACAUUUAAGACAAAUCUAUCUCUGAAUAAUUCAAGAGCUAAUACCCACACACCCCAAUAUUCUACACAGUUUCUGUGCUGUACAGUCCUUGCUCCUGAGAAAUGACGCAACAGCAGGCAGGCUACAGAGCGUGCUCUAAGAACAAUGUGACCUGAUCCUCUGUUUACUCCGUCCUAGAUUUUUGCUUUGAGACCCGAGAAAGGUAAAUUCUGAGCAAUUACUCCCAGACCAUCACAAGCCAGGGAGGAACAGGGCAACUACAAAUAUUUUUGCAGACAGUACAAAAAAUAGAAUUGGUAUUUAAACCUUUCCAGUUCAGUCAUACUACAUGUCAUGAAAUUAACACAUUUUGGAAGCAUCCUUUUGUUAAAGAAUAGCUUGUAAUUAUCCUGAGAAAAGGCCCUCAUGACAUUGGGCAAGUAAGUUUUUUUAAUGAACUCUUUUGGCACCUGCUUGACAGCCACCUCCCUUAGCUUAAAAAAACCACCCUAUGAGUUACACCAAGACACUAAGGAAUACAGGAAAGGCCACAGAAUUCAGAGUGAAACCACUCACGGCAAUUUACUUUCCAACCCCUAUAUUCCCCAAUUUAAAAAAAAUAAAAAAAAAUAAAGCUUUGCAUCCUUUUGA